AAUUUACUUUAUUAUCCGCCAGAACACUACAAGCGCUAGCUUAAAAUCCAAAGGACUUGGCGGUGCUUCAGACCCACCUAGAGGAGCCUGUUCUACAACCGAUAAUCCCCGUUAAACCUCACCACCUCUUGCCAUUACCGCCUAUAUACCACCGUCGUCAGCUCACCCUAUGAAGGAUUAAAAAGUAAGCAAAAAGAAUUAAACUCCCACACGUCAGGUCGAGGUGUAGCGAAUGAGAUGGAAAGAAAUGGGCUACAUUUUCUAUUAAGAAAACACGGACAGUAAACUGAAAAAUUACUCCAAGGUGGAUUUAGCAGUAAGAAGAAAUAAGAAUAUUCCACUGAAGCUGGCUCUGAAGCGCGCACACACCGCCCGUCACUCUCCUCACCAUAAACACCACCAUUAUAUAAAAAAUUUUUAUUAAAAGAGGGGGCAAGUCGUAACAUGGUAAGUGUACUGGAAAGUGCACUUGGAAU
rnacentral:rRNA from 1 species